UCCCCCGCGCCCCGCUGGGUCUGCAAUCACUGAGAACGGGGUGCCCUGUGGCAUAUCAGGGCCCUCCCGAGCUCUAACGUCUCUGAUUCAAGCUCCAAGCAGCAGAGCCCAGCGCCUGGAGAAUGCCAGCAGCCAGAUACCCAAGCUCCUUUACCCUGUGGGCAGUGCCUUCCAUGUGGCACAUUUCCGGACUCGGAGGACUUCAUCCCUCUGUUUAUAGUGAUUGGCUCAGAGACAGGCACGUGACCUAAGCCUGUUCAUUGGAGGCCUUCUGGGAUUUUCUCACUAAAGAUAUGAAAGAAAAUUGUUCCUUUCUGCUGAGAGAGUAUAAUUCUGCAGUUCCGGCAACCACGGACACCAUCAUGUGGUGUCAAGAGGAGGAGAAAAGAAACACUAUCCCGGAUCAAGCUGUUCCUAAAGCCAGCUCUAUCCCCGGACCUGCAAAGCAGCCAAAUAAAGAUAAACUCUUUUACCUAA